GGAAGCCAAGAACAUGUAUGGAGAGACACCAUUGCACAUGGCAGCCAAGAAUGGUUGUAAUGAAACAGCAAAGAUGCUUCUUGCUCAUGGUGCUCUUGUUGAAGCCAGAGCCAAUAAUGGGAUGACUCCGCUGCACCUUGCUGUUUGGCACUCAUUACGAGCCGAAGACUAUUCAACAGUAAAGACAUUGUUGGAGUAUAACGCAGAUUGUAGUGCUGAAGAUGAUGAGGGAAAGACUCCUAUACAUCAUCUCUCUCAAGGCCCUGGAAAUGAAAAGUUGCGUGAACUUCUCCACCAGUAUCUUGAUGAACAAAGAAAACGUAAAGCCAUUGAAGCAUGUAGCCAGACCAAAGCUAAAAUGGAUGAACUAGAAAGCGAAUUAUCUAAAAUAGUGGGGCUAGAUGAACUUAAACUGCAACUCCGCAAAUGGGCAAAGGGGAUGCUCUUGGAUGAGAGGCGUAAGGCCCUGGGGCUUAAAGUCGGUGCAAGAAGACCACCCCAUAUGGCUUUCCUUGGUAACCCUGGUACAGGAAAAACUAUGGUUGCUCGAAUUCUUGGAAAAUUGCUUCAUAUGGUGGGGAUCCUUCCCACCAACAAGGUGACAGAGGUGCAGAGAACCGAUCUGGUUGGUGAAUUUGU
rnacentral:misc_RNA from 1 species